UUUAAUGAGAGUUUGAUCCUGGCUCAGGAUUAACGCUGGCGGCGUGCAUAACACAUGCAAGUCGAACGAUGAAACUUAAAUGAACUCUUCGGGG
rfam:Anaerococcus lactolyticus ATCC 51172 genomic scaffold SCAFFOLD226, whole genome shotgun sequence.